CCUACGGGAGGCUGCAGUGGGGAAUAUUGCGCAAUGGGCGAAAGCCUGACGCAGCGACGCCGCGUGAGGGAUGAAGGUCUUCGGUUCGUAAACCUCUGUCAGCAGGGAAGUACGGUCACUGUGCUAUUCAGCAGUGAAUUGACGUUAUCUGCAAAGGAAGCACCGGCUAACUCCGUGCGAGCAGCUGCGGUAAUACGGAGGGUGCGAGCGUUAAUCGGAAUUACUGGGCGUAAGGGGCUCGUAGGCGGUAUGUCAAGUCAAGGGUGAAAUCCCCGGGCUAAACGUGGGAAUUGCAUUUGAGACUGGCAAACUGGAGUACAGUAGAGGUAGGUGGAAUUCGGGGUGUAGUGGUGAAAUGCUUAGAUAUCUGGAAGAACAUCGAUGGCGAAGGCAGCUAUCUGGAACGUAACUGACGCUGAGGAGCGAAAGCGUGGGUAGCAAACAGGAUUAGAUACCCGGGUAGUC
rnacentral:rRNA from 1 species